CCUACGGGCGGCUGCAGUAGGGAAUCUUCCACAAUGGGCGAAAGCCUGAUGGAGCAACGCCGCGUGUGUGAUGAAGGCUUUCGGGUCGUAAAGCACUGUUGUAUGGGAAGAACAGCUAGAGUAGGGAAUGACUUUAGUUUGACGGUACCAUACCAGAAAGGGACGGCUAAAUACGUGCCAGCAGCCGCGGUAAUACGUAUGUCCCGAGCGUUAUCCGGAUUUAUUGGGCGUAAAGCGAGCGCAGACGGUUGAUUAAGUCUGAUGUGAAAGCCCGGAGCUCAACUCCGGAAAGGCAUUGGAAACUGGUCAACUUGAGUGCAGUAGAGGUAAGUGGAACUCCAUGUGUAGCGGUGGAAUGCGUAGAUAUAUGGAAGAACACCAGCGGCGAAGGCGGCUUACUGGACUGUAACUGACGUUGAGGCUCGAAAGUGU
rnacentral:rRNA from 1 species